rnacentral:lncRNA from 1 species
GGCCCCAGUGGCAUAAUACUGUACUGCUUCAUUCAAUGUAUAGUGCAAACAGAUGAGGCCGGAGUUGAGGGUUCAGCAAUAGGAUUGAUACCGUUACCACCACGACUCCCUAGCCUGUUAACCAGGGGUCCUCCAGAAAGGGCUUCAUUAGGACUUCCAAGUUCAAAACAAAACAAAACAAGGCUAAGAUAGCAUACGAUUCACCCAGUAUUGUCUCUGUGGAGAGCUGGUGCUGAAAAUAGCCACUAUGUUUAACCCAGUUAUGAGCUCCUGAGGUCUAGUCUACUCAGGCAGCAGAAAGAGACAGUAGCCAGAGUUGUGUACGGUGGUACCUCAGGCUAAGAACUUAAUUCGUUCUGGAGGUCCGUUCUUAACCUGAAACUGUUCUUAACCUGAGGUACCACUUUAGCUAAUGGGGCCUCCCACUGCUGCCGCGCCACCAGCGUGCGAUUUCUGUUCUCAUCCUGAGGUAAACUUCUUAACCUGAGGUACUACUGGGUUAGCGGAGUCUGUAACCUGAAGCGUCUGUAACCUGAGGUACCACUGUAUUAUCUAAGCUGGCGGGAGAGGAUACCCAUUUUGAAUGCUUGCAUUAAAAAAAAAAUAAUCCCUGUAAACAAAAAGUCCAGGGCAUCAGGGAAAGUGGUAAUAAACCACCUGUUUCAUACUUGCUUAUUUUAUGGAAAUAAGCCCCCCCUCCCCCGGAAAGUGGUAAAGUCUUUUCCACUAUACCACAUUAAGAACGCAAGAUAAUAAAAUGAUAGGAAGAAGAGAACAUUUUAAAAUACAAUAUUAUUUUGACAUGAGGUGGGGAAAGAAUUUUUACCUUGUCAGGCUGGCUCCAUGAGCAUCAAAUGUUUUUUUAUUUCUGAAAGACGUUUCUACCCUGCCUUUUGGCUCCCAAAGUUCCUCACCUCAUCAAUUAAAAGCAACAUAACCCUGAAGCAUUUUCCCCCGAACUGAUUUUCUGUCUAGGACUAUUCGUUUUCCAUUAUACACCUGUAGGUGCCAAGCAAAAAUGUUCCUCUUCGACCAGGCCUUGGGCUGUGUCUUUUUACAUGUGUUUAUGGGAUGCGGGUUUAUUGGUUUGCUUUGUUCUCGUUUUUAGUAUGUAUUUUGUUUUUUUAUUUUGUAUUUAUAUGCCUUGAACCACCCAGAGCAUUUCAGGUGAGAGGCAGUAUACAAAUUUAAACAACAACAACAGAUAAUUAAAACUAACAUAUACAAUGCCUUUUAAGCCACAAGGAUUCUUCUAGGCACAGAGGGAAGAGCCUUUGACCUUCCUAAUGUUGUUGAACUGCGAAUCCCAUCAGUCCUAGCAAGCAUGGCUAAUAGCCAGGACUGAUGGGAGUUGCAAUUCAGCAAAGUCUGGAGGACAAACUGUGCCAUACAACUGACCAAGGCUGAGGAAGUGAGAUUUCUGGCUUGCACUUAGGAAGAUUGUGUGCCAACACGCUUGGUUGUACCCUAGUUUUGAUCCUGGUCCAUCUGUCUCUGCCUUAGCCCCUACCCUUUCUUGGGGGCCAGUAUUCCUAAAAUCAGAAGUUCAUAAGCUUAUCUGUUAAGCUUCUCACCUGCUGCUGGAGGAUAACAGUAAAUCUAAGGAGCGUCUCCACCCUCAUCGUUCAGCCCGGACACUGAGGUCCAGCUCCGAGGGCCUUCUGCUUGUUCCCUCGCUGCGAGAAGUGAAGUUACAGGGAACCAGGCAGAGGAACUUCUCGGUAGUGGCACCUGCCCUGUGGAACGCCCUUCCCAUCAGAUGUCAAGGAAAUAAACAACUAUCUGACUUUUAGAAGACGUCUGAAGGCAGCCCUGUUUAGGGAAGUUUUUAAUGUUUGAAAUUAUAUUCUGUUUUUAGUCCUCUGUUGGGAACCACCCAGAGUGGCUGGUAUAAAUAAAUAGUAUAACUAAUAAAAUAAUAAUAAUCAUUACUACUAAAAAACCUGCAGAGCUAAGUUCCUUAUUUUGGGCACCCCAGUACAGUGGUACCUCUGGUUACAUACGCUUCAGGUUACAGACUCUGCUAACCCAGAAAUAGUGCUUCAGGUUAAGAACUUUGCUUCAGGAUGAGAACAGAAAUCGUGCUCCGGCGGCGCAGCGGCAGCAGGAGGCCCCAUUAGCUCAAGUGGUGCUUCAGGUUAAGAACAGUUUCAGGUUAAGAAUGGACCUCCGGAACGAAUUAAGUACUUAACCUGAGGUACCACUGUAGUUGCGAUUGGCCAAGGCUUACUGUACCUCUCUCACUGAAACAGUAAACUUGUUUCUGAGCUGUACCACUUCAGAGUGCAGAGGGUAGGGCUUGCGUGCUGGAAUGUACCUCCAUGCAAAAUAUUCAUUGGAUGUAGAAGGUUACCACGUCAGGGAGAAGGGCAGGUUAUAGCCUGCCUCCCAAAUGCGCUAGUUUUUCGUUUUCUUUAUGCAGGGACAUUGAAACAUGUGAUUCUCCUACCUGCAGUCUGAAGUAGUACAACCCAGAAACAGCUUUGCCACCGCAGUGAGAACUAGGAUGUUCUCCUUAUAGCUCCAGAUGUUGUGUUUUUUCGCUUCUGAGUCACUUGUCUAGCCUCGCACAAUAAAACCAGGCAGGCUGGAGAAAUGUGCUCUGUGUGUGUGUGUGUGUGUGUGUGUGGUUUCUUUGUUCGUUUCAUUUCAUUUCUAUUUUUUUGCUUCCUUUCCAUCAGCUUUAACAUCAGAGAGGAUCAAGAGCCCUCAUUUGUACUUCAAAGUAUUCCACAGCAAAUUGGUAAAACCUAGAAAAGAAAUCCUGAAAAAUAAUGCCUGCCUCUUCUUCUUCCUUUCCGUUCUCACUUCUAUAGACCUAUUUGUCAGCAAAAAAUAAAUAAAUAAAAAUUAAACCCUGGCCGCCAAAGGGAUUUUCCCACCCCUUCCUCCUGCUUGUUUGCGUUGAAAUUGCUAGUUUCCUUGAAAAUACAACAGAUGCAGAGGUCACAACAAGGUACCUGACUUUCCCUACCAAAACGUGACAAAACGAAAUGCUUAACAAUCUGGAAGACUGAAUUCUUCAAAUCCAAACUUAAUCCUGGGUAUACUAUUUUUGCAAUUGUUAAUUCAAAAAGUUGUCUGCUCUAGCUAUCCUUAAAAUAUCUGUCUCCUUUU